rnacentral:rRNA from 1 species
GACGAACGCUGGCGGCGUGCUUAACACAUGCAAGUCGAACGGAAAGGCCCUGCUUUUGUGGGGUGCUCGAGUGGCGAACGGGUGAGUAACACGUGAGUAACCUGCCCUUGACUUUGGGAUAACUUCAGGAAACUGGGGCUAAUACCGGAUAGGAGCUCCUGCUGCAUGGUGGGGGUUGGAAAGUUUCGGCGGUUGGGGAUGGACUCGCGGCUUAUCAGCUUGUUGGUGGGGUAGUGGCUUACCAAGGCUUUGACGGGUAGCCGGCCUGGGAGGGUGACCGGCCACAGUGGGACUGAGAUGGGGCCCAGACUCCUACGGGAGGAAGAAGUGGGGAAUAUUGCACAAUGGGCGGAAGCCGGAUGCAGCAACGCCGCGUGCGGGAUGACGGCCUUCGGGUUGUAAACCGCUUUCGCCUGUGACGAAGCGUGAGUGACGGUAAUGGGUAAAGAAGCACCGGCUAACUACGUG